rnacentral:tRNA from 1 species
GUUGGGGUAGCUUAUAAGUAAAGCAUUAGUGUUACAUAUUAAAUAAAGGAAAUUUACUUCCUCCUUAAUA